rnacentral:miRNA from 1 species
UAUUUCUUCUACCAUACUAUU